CUCACGUCUGGCUCAGGUCUCACUUCCACAACCUAGGGGGCGUUCAACACAGGGCAGACACGUCACAUCUGCUCGUUGAAUAAAAAACGAGUGGCAAAAGUGAAAAAGAAACGAGAAACCUCUCCCCCCCUGGCGGAAGCAGCUAAGACAAACUUGCAGCGCUGGAGGCAGAAUCGUUCCCGGAUUCAGACUUCCCACACCUCUCCGAGCCCGCAGCCCACCCUGUGCAAACAUUUCCUGUAAGCUAGUCGCGUGUGGCUCCUCAGAGUCCCUACUUCAGUUUUUCACAGGCGCUCGUGGGGUUCCAGGCGGCCUCUCACAGAAGAGCUGAGCUCAAGACUGCAAGUCAGCCCUCCCGCCCAGCCGGCUCGCCGCUGUCUGUACAGGCCAAGGUUCGCCCCGCCCCCGUCGUCUCGGCAACGGUGAGCGACAGGUGCGCGCAGGCGCCGUUGGUGCGCGGGGCACGGCGGCCUCUGGGCGCGCGCUUCGGCGCGGCGUGGCACGCGGGGCUUCGCUGCUUGGCGCCGCUGUGAUCACCUCAGUGCCCUCGGACCUCCGGGCGCCCGUUCCGGUCGGCAACUGAUCUCCCCUGCGGCCGGGGUCGGGAGACGAGGCCACACGCUGCCGCGCGGUGGGACACAGGCGGCCAUGGAAUUCUCCACCCUCUGCCCACUCUUCAGGGACCCUUCCCUGCUGUCCCUGUCCAUCCUGUGCUGUCGUGUUGCCAUGUACUCCUCGGCUCCUCCUUCCCAGCACAGUUGCCAGGUAAAGGGAAGAAAGGCAAAGGCACAGGAAGGCCACAUGGGAAGAAGCAGAAGAAGCCCGAGGUGGACAUCCUGAGCCCGGCUGCCAUGCUUAACCUGUACUACAUCGCGCACAACGCAGCCGAGUGCCUGCACCUGCGAGGUUUCCGCUGGCCCGGUGCGCCCAAGGGGAAAAAGGGCAGGAACAAGACCUAGGAGGAGCGAGUUGAAGAUAACAGGAUGAUGACUGCAAGCAAAAUAGACUUUGCUGAAGAAAUUUUGAAAUGCAAGCUCAGUGUGCUUUUCAGUGGUAAAUUAGGAUUUAAAAAUGCCUUUUACUUCUUCAGUUAACUCACGUAUAACUAAGGAGAGUUUUUUUAAGGGUUAAGGGAAGUGAGUUUUGAGUAAUCCCUACACUGUGUGGUGGAAUUCAUAGGACUUUUUAAAACUAUCAUCAUAAUUCUGUGUCAGAAUUAAACGUUGCUCUGGCAAGGCAGUUCCAGUUUGCGCGAGUUGUUUUCUUUUGCAGAAGGGGUUUGUUAUUGGAGAAGGCACAGCACAUGCUUGGGCUUACCUUAAACAGCCCUCUCUUGGGUGCUGUUUUUUUGUUUUUGCUUUUCAAACCUUG
rnacentral:lncRNA from 1 species